ACUGGACUUCCCAUAGCAGCUGAUAUGGAGGAUAUUAAAUGGAAGGGUAGCCCAUGAGCCUGGGGAACUUGAGGAUGAUUCAUUUACAUGUUCUUGGCCAUGAAUUAAGUUAAAGAUGGCCAAGUGAUUGGAUAUCCGGUUGUGACAAAGGAAGUGAAAUGGAGCAGAGAUCCCCCUUUUUAGGGCCCUGCACUGUCCCCCUAGAAACCUGGACUCCACCCAGAAACCUUUUCAGAAAUC
rnacentral:lncRNA from 1 species